rnacentral:rRNA from 1 species
UACGUAGGUGGCAAGCGUUGUCCGGAUUUACUGGGCGUAAAGAGCGCGCAGGCGGUCGUUCAAGUCGAGUGUGAAAGCCCCCGGCUCAACUGGGGAGGGUCAUUCGAUACUGAUCGACUCGAAGGCAGGAGAGGGAAGCGGAAUUCCCGGUGUAGUGGUGAAAUGCGUAGAUAUCGGGAGGAACACCAGUGGCGAAGGCGGCUUCCUGGCCUGUUCUUGACGCUGAGGCGCGAAAGCUAGGGGAGCAAACGGGG